rnacentral:rRNA from 1 species
UACGGGGGGGGCAAGCGUUGUUCGGAAUUACUGGGCGUAAAGGGCUCGUAGGUGGCCAACUAAGUCAUGCGUGAAAUCCCUCGGCUUAACCGGGGAACUGCGUCUGAUACUGGAUGGCUUGAGUUUGGGAGAGGGAUGCGGAAUUCCAGGUGUAGCGGUGAAAUGCGUAGAUAUCUGGAGGAACACCGGUGGCGAAGGCGGCAUCCUGGACCGGCAUUGACGCUGAUGAGCGAAAGCCAGGGGAGCAAACGGG